GAUGAACGCUGGCGGCGUGCUUAACACAUGCGAGUCGAACGGAAAGGCCCAAUCUUGCUUGGGUACUCGAGUAGCGAACGGGUGAGUAACACGUGAGUUAUCUGCCCUUCACUUCGGGAUAAGCCUGGGAAACUGGGAUUAAUACCGGAUAGGACUAUUGCUUGGAUGGGAUUGUGGAGAGUUUUUUCGUUGUGGGGUGCGCUCGCGGCCUAUCCGGUUGUUGGGGGGGGAAUGGUCUCCCAACGUGUCGGAGGGGAGCCGGCCGGAGAGGGGGGACGGGCACAAUGGGAAUGGGAUAAGGGCCAGGCUCCCACGGGGGGCAGGAGGGGGGAAUAUUGGAAAAUGGGGGCAAGCCUGAUGGAGGGACGGCGGGGGGGGGAUGAAGGGCUUCGGGGUGGAAACUCCUGUCGAGAGGGACGAAGCGUUGUUGUGACGGUACCUGGAGAAGAAGCACCGGCUAACUACGUG
rnacentral:rRNA from 1 species